rnacentral:rRNA from 1 species
UGAGGAAUAUUGGUCAAUGGGCGAGAGCCUGAACCAGCCAAGUAGCGUGCAGGAUGACGGCCCUAUGGGUUGUAAACUGCUUUUAUAUGGGAAUAAAGUGAGGGACGUGUCCCUUAUUGCAUGUACCAUACGACUAAGGACCGGCUAAUUCCGUGCCAGCAGCCGCGGUAAUACGGAAGGUCCAGGCGUUAUCCGGAUUUAUUGGGUUUAAAGGGAGCGUAGGCUGUUUGUUAAGCGUGUUGUGAAAUGUAAGAGCUCAACUUUUAGAUUGCAGCGCGAACUGGCAGACUUGAGUGCGCACAACGUAGGCGGAAUUCAUGGUGUAGCGGUGAAAUGCUUAGAUAUCAUGACGAACUCCGAUUGCGAAGGCAGCUUACGGGAGCGCAACUGACGCUAAAGCUCGAAGGUGCGGGUAUCGAACAGG